rnacentral:rRNA from 1 species
ACAAGUACCGUGAGGGAAAGUUGCAAAGCACUUUGAAGAGAGAGUUAAAAAGGACGUGAAACCGAUAAGGUGGAAACGGAUAGAGCCGGCGAAUCUAGCUUGUAUUCAGCUAGUUGGCAUUGUCUGCUGGUCUAGUUGAUCCUGCUUUUGGUCGGCUGGGCUAGUGUAAGGCAGUGUUGAUUGGUGCAUUUGCAAGUGGAGUGCGCUGAGUGGCAUGGUUCAGCGGUUUGAUGUUGGUUAAGAGGCCACGCUUCGGCAUGGAACCUGAGCCUUCGAAGAGCCGAUUGUGCUGUGUUCUUUGUAGACUAAGGCCUACGUGAUAUGCUGCUAGCUUUGUAGGGUCUUGUGGAGGUCGCAUGCGACACUUACUUGGCUCUGUUUGGCUGGUGGCUAUUCACUCUUAGUUUAGCUCGGUGUAAAAGCUGGUCAUCUAUCCGACCCGUCUUGAAACACGGACCAAGGAGUUUAGCGUAUACGCGAGUCAUUGAGUGAAAAACUCAUAGGCGUAAUGAAAGUAAAGACCACUUUGUGGUUGAUAUGCGACCCUGUUGUGUUACAACAAUAGGAGCAGCAUAGCCCCGUCUCUAUUGCUUGCAAUGGGGCGGAGGUAGAGCGUAUUCGCUGAGACCCGAAAGAUGGUGAACUAUGCCUGAGCAGGAUGAAGCCAGUGGAAACUCUGGUGGAAGUCCGAAGCGGUUCUGACGUGCAAAUCGAUCGUCUGACUUGGGUAUAGGGGCGAAAGACUAAUCGAACCAUCUAGUAGCUGGUUCCUUCCGA